UUACAAGUACCCGGAGGGAAAGUUGCAAAGCACUUUGAAGAGAGAGUUAAAGAGGACGUGAAACCGGUAGGAUGGAAACGGAUAGAGCCAGCGAAGUCGCUCGUAUUCAGCCAAAGGCCCGGCGCUGUGGGCGGUCGAGUUCCUCAUCAGGCUCGGCUGUCAGCGUGUGCCGGGUCGAGGUGCACUUGCGGGCGUUUGCGCCGAGACUUGCGCGUCAGCUUCUGGACCCGAAGACAAGAGGCUUCCCUCUGGGUUGAACCUGGUCUAGGCUACAGUUGUUUGGUGUGCUCGUACGGGUGUGGGCCGCUUGGUUGUGCGUUCGUUCCGGGGCGGUGGUAUCGCAUGCGAUGCCUAGCUCUGGGCCGGCCGUACCGCCUGGCCACCGUGCCCACUCUCGGUGUAGAAGCUGGUCAUCUCUCCGACCCGUCUUGAAACACGGACCAAGGAGUUUAGCGUAUGCGCGAGUCAUUGGGUGCACAAACCCACAGGCGCAAUGAAAGUGAAGGCUCGUUCGGCGGGCUGACAUGCGAGCGGCUGGUCCUCGGACUGGUCGUGCAGCAUGGUCCCAUUGUAGUCGCUUGCGACGCAGUGGAGACAGAGCGUAUGCGCUGAGACCCGAAAGAUGGUGAACUAUUCCUGAGCAGGACGAAGCCAGAGGAAACUCUGGUGGAAGUCCGAAGCGAUUCUGACGUGCAAAUCGAUCGUCUGACUUGGGUAUAGGGGCGAAA
rnacentral:rRNA from 1 species